rnacentral:rRNA from 1 species
UACGUAGGGGGGCUAGCGUUGUCCGGAUUUAUUGGGCGUAAAGAGCGUGUAGGCGGCCAGGUAGGUCUGCUGUGAAAACUCGAGGCUCAACCUCGAGACGUCGGCGGAAACCAUCUGGCUAGAGUCCGGAAGAGGAGAGUGGAAUUCCUGGUGUAGCGGUGAAAUGCGCAGAUAUCAGGAAGAACACCCGUGGCGAAGGUGGCUCUCUGGGACGGUACUGACGCUGAGACGCGAAAGCGUGGGGAGCGAACAGG